UACGUAGGGUGCAAGCGUUGUCCGGAAUUAUUGGGCGUAAAGAGCUCGUAGGCGGUCUGUCGCGUCGGUCGUGAAAACUUGGGGCUUAACCCUGAGCUUGCGGUCGAUACGGGCAUGACUGGAGUUCGGUAGGGGAGACUGGAAUUCCUGGUGUAGCGGUGAAAUGCGCAGAUAUCAGGAGGAACACCGGUGGCGAAGGCGGGUCUCUGGGCCGUAACUGACGCUGAGGAGCGAAAGCGUGGGGAGCGAACAGG
rnacentral:rRNA from 1 species